UAUCGGGUCGCUCGUGUCACUGCACGUGUAAAAGACGUUAAAAAUGCCGAAGUGUUGUUUUAAAAAUUGUAAAAAUAUUACAUCAAGGAAGCAAAAAAAGGAUGGAAUAUCGUACUUUCGUUUUCCUCGUGACCCAAUACGACGCACGUGGAGAAUGGACAUCAAUCGUCAGCCAGCAAAGGCGUGAAGAUUUUUUGAAGCCGAAUUAUUCAAGCGUUGUUUGUUCCAAACAUUUUUUUGAUGAAGACAUGUAUGUUACCGCAAAAGGCAUUAAUCGUUUUUACACAAU